rnacentral:rRNA from 1 species
UACGUAGGUGGCGAGCGUUGUUCGGAAUUACUGGGCGUAAAGCGCGCGCAGGCGGCUUAGCAAGUCAGGGGUGAAAGCCCGGGGCUCAACCUCGGAACUGCCUUUGAGACUGCUAGGCUCGAGACCGAGAGAGGAGAGUGGAAUUCCCAGUGUAGAGGUGAAAUUCGUAGAUAUUGGGAAGAACACCAGUGGCGAAGGCGGCUCUCUGGCUCGGUACUGACGCUGAGGCGCGAAAGCGUGGGGAGCAAACAGG